CACGCCGUAAACGAUGAGUACUAAGUGCUGGGGAACUCAGUGCUGAAGCUAACGUAGUAAGUACUCCGCCUGAGUAGUACGUGCGCAAGCAUGAAACUCAAAGGAAUUGACGGGACCCCGCACAAGCGGUGGAUCAUGUUGUUUAAUUCGAGGAUACGCGAAGAACCUUACCAGGCCUUGACAUACCGUGCGAAGCUAUAGAGAUAUAGUGAAGGCUAACACGGAUACAGGUGG
rnacentral:rRNA from 1 species